UGUGAGAACAAAGAAAUCCACGUCAGUGUAUGUGCAUAACAAUUAGUAUGUUUCCUUACAGACAUGGCAAAUAUUCAGAGCUAGGUACUGGUACCCUGUUAGAAAUAUGAUGUUAUAUCACUAGGAUUCUUGUAAAUCGAUUAGUUUGCCACCCACAAAGCAUCAUGUGUGAUAAAGUGAAGUUUCAAGGUUAUGAAAGAUUCUGCUUUCUCUUGCAGCAGGAGUGUCGAGAAUUCUCUUACAGAGAACUGAAGAAACAUUUCCUGCUGUGACAGAAAGGAUGAAUUGUACAAAGUCAGAGAAGGUUUUAGUGGGUCCACAUGGUGAGACAUACGCAGCAAUUCAUGAUGCAAACCAGACCAUGAAUAUAAAAGCUGAGGAAGUCUCAGAUGCACAAGAGGAAGCAGAUUCUGUGCAAAUAACAGUUCAGGAGAUAAAGGCUGAACCUGAGAACUGUACAAAUUUGGAGAACGCUUUAAUGGGUCCAUAUG